GGGGGGGGGGGGGGGGGGGGGGGGGGGGGGGGGGGGGGGGGGGAGGGCCCUGCGUUGGUGGGGUGCUCGGGUGGCGAACGGGUGGGUAACACGUGAGUAGCCUGCCCUUGACUUUGGGAUAACUUCAGGAAACUGGGGCUAAUACCGGAUAGGAGCGCCUGCUGCAUGGUGGGGGUUUGAAAGUUUAGGCGGUUGGGGAUUGACUCGCGGCUUAUCAGUUUGUUGGUGGGGUAGUGGCUUACCAAGGCUUUGAAGGGUAGCAGGACUGAGAGGGUGACAGGGCAAAUGGGGACUGAGAAACGGCCGAGACUACUACGGGAGGCAGCAGUGGGGAAUAUUGAACAAUGGGCGGAAGCCUGAUGCAGCAACGUCGCGUGCGGGAUGACGGCCGUCGGGUUGUAAACCGCUGUCGCCGGGGACGAAGCGUGAGUGACGAUAAUGGGUAAAGAAGCAAAGGCUAACUACGUG
rnacentral:rRNA from 1 species